rnacentral:rRNA from 1 species
UACGGGGGGAGCAAGCGUUGUUCGGAUUUACUGGGCGUAAAGGGCGCGUAGGCGGUCAGCACAAGUCAGUUGUGAAAUCUCCGGGCUUAACCCGGAAAGGUCAACUGAUACUGUGCGACUAGAGUGCGGAAGGGGCAACUGGAAUUCUCGGUGUAGCGGUGAAAUGCGUAGAUAUCGAGAGGAACACCUGCGGCGAAGGCGGGUUGCUGGGCUGAUACUGACGCUGAGGCGCGAAAGCCAGGGGAGCAAACGGG